rnacentral:rRNA from 1 species
AACGAACGCUGGCGGCAUGCCUAACACAUGCAAGUCGAACGAGACCUUCGGGUCUAGUGGCGCACGGGUGCGUAACGCGUGGGAACCUGCCCUUAGGUUCGGAAUAACUCCCCGAAAGGGGUGCUAAUACCGGAUAAUGUCUACGGACCAAAGAUUUAUCGCCUUUGGAUGGGCCCGCGUUGGAUUAGUUAGUUGGUAGGGUAAAAGCCUACCAAGGCGACGAUCCAUAGCUGGUCUGAGAGGAUGAUCAGCCACACUGGGACUGAGACACGGCCCAGACUCCUACGGGAGGCAGCAGUGGGGAAUAUUGGACAAUGGGCGAAAGCCUGAUCCAGCAAUGCCGCGUGAGCGAUGAAGGCCUUAGGGUUGUAAAGCUCUUUUACCCGGGAUGAUAAUGACAGUACCGGGAGAAUAAGCUCCGGCUAACUCCGUG